AUACGUAGGGGGCGAGCGUUGUCCGGAAUUAUUGGGCGUAAAGGGCGCGUAGACGGCCGGAUAAGUUACUUGUGAAAGCCCGCCUUUCAAGGGCGGAACUGCAAGUAAUACUGUCUGGCUUGAGUGCAGGAGAGGAAAGCGGAAUUCCUAGUGUAGCGGUGAAAUGCGUAGAUAUUAGGAGGAACACCAGUUGCGAAGGCGGCUCUCUGGACUGUAACUGACACUGAGGCACGAAAGCGUGGGGAGC
rnacentral:rRNA from 1 species